rnacentral:rRNA from 1 species
CACGUAGGGGCCAAGCGUUGUCCGGAUUUAUUGGGCGUAAAGAGCUCGUAGGCGGUUCGACAAGUCGGGUGUGAAAACUCCGGGCUCAACCCGGAGACGCCACCCGAUACUGUCGUGACUGGAGUCCGGUAGGGGAGUGGGGAAUUCCUGGUGUAGCGGUGAAAUGCGCAGAUAUCAGGAGGAACACCGGUGGCGAAGGCGCCACUCUGGGCCGGUACUGACGCUGAGGAGCGAAAGCCAGGGGAGCAAACGGG